UAGGGAAUCUUCGGCAAUGGACGAAAGUCUGACCGAGCAACGCCGCGUGAGUGAAGAAGGUUUUCGGAUCGUAAAACUCUGUUGUUAGAGAAGAACAAGGACGGUAGUAACUGAACGUCCCCUGACGGUAUCUAACCAGAAAGCCACGGCUAACUACGUGCCAGCAGCCGCGGUAAUACGUAGGUGGCAAGCGUUGUCCGGAUUUAUUGGGCGUAAAGCGAGCGCAGGCGGUUUCUUAAGUCUGAUGUGAAAGCCCCCGGCUCAACCGGGGAGGGUCAUUGGAAACUGGGAGACUGGAGUGCAGGAGAGGAGAGUGGGAUUCGGAGUGGAGCGGUGAAAUGCGUAGAUAUAUAGAGGAACACCAGUGGCGAAGGCAGCUCCCUGGUCUGUAACUGACGCUGAGGCUCAAAAGCGUGGGGAGCGAACAGG
rnacentral:rRNA from 1 species